AUGUUUUCCCUACCUACCUACCCUAUUUUUUUUCGGCAUGUAACGGUAACCACACAUAUAUUUUGUUUUGGCCUAGGUGCAUGAGCCACGGGUAGAUGAGUGUACAUGAUUCCUAGCUAGCUAGGUGCAUGAGCCACGGGUAGAUAAGUGUACAUGAUUCCUAGCUAGCUAGGUGUGUGACCCCCUCUGUGAGAUGUGUUUGUGGUGUGUGACAGUCUUAGCUAGCACAGCAUGUUGCCCUUGGCUGGUUCGGUGUAUGACCCCGCCCCCUGGGUAUAUGAGUGUGUCACCUUCAGUUAACUAGGUGCUUGACCCCAGUGACCCCGGUGAGUACAUGACCCCUCAGUUAGCCGAGUGUGCACACUUGCUGCAGAAACAUGAUUAUAUAACCAGAAUGGCUCGGAUACCGUUGGGGUGGGGGCAAUUCCCUAGUUGAUACCAGAAUCGUGUGCUAUCGCUGUGUGCCUUUUUGAAUGUGUAAAGGUUCUAUUUUUGCAUCGGUAAAUUUUAGUCGUUCCACUGGAAUGCACGUGUGCCAAUGCAGUCUGAUCGAUCAGGUGAAGCGGCAGGUGGGUAAACGAGUAGCUCUAUUCAUGCUACCAUCACCUGCUGCUAGUGCAGCUUAAGCAUCAGUGUGUCUGUGGAAGUAGGUGUAGGAAAGGUUUUACUUAGGCUGCGUGUUAUUGAGACCCGGUUUUGAAAUAAGACAUGCUUUAUAAUGUUAAUUUUCACAAACACAUAUAUCUGAUGAUAUAGAUUAUAUAUCAAUAUCCAAAGUAUUAGCAAGUCUGUAUAACAUGACAACGAUUAAUAAGGAACUAUAUAUAUGCUGGCUUCAGUUCCACAUUUAUCAUGUAUUCAUACAUUUAUCCUUUAUCAUGUAUAGUAAUCACAGCAGCAGGUUUGUGUGAUGAAGGUUAAAAAUCAAUGCUUGCUCUGUAUAUUUGCAGGCUGAAUGAA